rnacentral:rRNA from 1 species
CUGUCGUCAGCUCGUGUUGUGAAAUGUUGGGUUAAGUCCCGCAACGAGCGCAACCCUUAUCCUUUGUUGCCAGCGGUCCGGCCGGGAACUCAAAGGAGACUGCCAGUGAUAAACUGGAGGAAGGUGGGGAUGACGUCAAGUCAUCAUGGCCCUUACGACCAGGGCUACACACGUGCUACAAUGGCGCAUACAAAGAGAAGCGACCUCGCGAGAGCAAGCGGACCUCAUAAAGUGCGUCGUAGUCCGGAUUGGAGUCUGCAACUCGACUCCAUGAAGUCGGAAUCGCUAGUAAUCGUGGAUCAGAAUGCCACGGUGAAUACGUUCCCGGGCCUUGUACACACCGCCCGUCACACCAUGGGAGUGGGUUGCAAAAGAAGUAGGUAGCUUAACCUUCGGGAGGGCGCUUACCACUUUGUGAUUCAUGACUGGGGUGAAGUCGUAACAAGGUAACCGUAGGGGAACCUGCGGUUGGAUCACCUC